UACGUAGGGUGCGAGCGUUAAUCGGAAUUACUGGGCGUAAAGCGUGCGCAGGCGGUUUGCUAAGACCGAUGUGAAAUCCCCGGGCUCAACCUGGGAACUGCAUUGGUGACUGGCAGGCUAGAGUAUGGCAGAGGGGGGUAGAAUUCCACGUGUAGCAGUGAAAUGCGUAGAGAUGUGGAGGAAUACCGAUGGCGAAGGCAGCCCCCUGGGCCAAUACUGACGCUCAUGCACGAAAGCGUGGGGAGCAAAAGGG
rnacentral:rRNA from 1 species